UUUAUGGAGAGUUUGAUCCUGGCUCAGGAUGAACGCUGGCGGCGUGCCUAAUACAUGCAAGUCGAGCGAACGGACGAGAAGCUUGCUUCUCUGAUGUUAGCGGCGGACGGGUGAGUAACACGUGGAUAACCUACCUAUAAGACUGGGAUAACUUCGGGAAACCGGAGCUAAUACCGGAUAAUAUUUUGAACCGCAUGGUUCAAAAGUGAAAGACGGUCUUGCUGUCACUUAUAGAUGGAUCCGCGCUGCAUUAGCUAGUUGGUAAGGUAACGGCUUACCAAGGCAACGAUGCAUAGCCGACCUGAGAGGGUGAUCGGCCACACUGGAA
rnacentral:rRNA from 1 species